rnacentral:rRNA from 1 species
UAGGGAAUCUUCCACAAUGGGCGAAAGCCUGAUGGAGCAACGCCGCGUGUGUGACGAAGGGUUUCGGCUCGUAAAACACUGUUGUAAGAGAAGAAUGACAUUGAGAGUAACUGUUCAAUGUGUGACGGUAUCUUACCAGAAAGGAACGGCUAAAUACGCGCCAG